rnacentral:rRNA from 1 species
UUUGGAGGGGCAAGUCUGGUGCCAGCAGCCGCGGUAAUUCAGCUCCAAUAGCGUAUAUUAAAGUUGUUGCAGUUAAAAAGCUCGUAGUUGAACUUCGGGGUUCACCCAUUGGUCAGGCUUAAUUGUCUGCACUGGUGAGAUGAGUCUCUACCUUCUGAGGAACUUUCAUGUCAUUAAUUUGGUGUGAUUGGAAAUCAGGACUGUUACUUUGAAAAAAUUAGAGUGUUUAAAGCAGGCUAACGUCUGAAUACAUUAGCAUGGAAUAAUGAAAUAGGACGGACUGAUUCUAUUUCGUUGGUUUCUAGGAUCACCGUAAUGAUUAAUAGGGAUAGUUGGGGGCAUUAGUAUUCAAUUGUCAGAGGUGAAAUUCUUGGAUUUAUUGAAGACUAACUACUGCGAAAGCAUUUGCCAAGGAUGUUUUCAUUAAUCAAGAACGAAAGUUAGGGGAUCGAAGACGAUCAGAUACCGUCGUAGUCUUAACCAUAAACUAUGCCGACUAGGGAUCGGACGAAGUUAAUUUUAUAAUGACGCGUUCGGCACCUUACGGGAAACCAAAGUGUUUGGGUUCA